AACGCACAUUGCGCCCUAUGGUAUUCCGUAGGGCAUGCCUGUCUGAGCGUCAGCUCCCACCCACUCAAGUCUUUUUAGAUUUGGAUUACCUUGAGGAAGUGUCAUUUUUAUAGUGCUGCUCCUCAGAAAUUCAUAGGCAAUACGGCAAAUCCUGAACCGGGCGUAAUAAGGAUAUAAAAUCGUCAAGGCAGGCAAUCUGUAUUAGUCUUUAACCCCCAAUUUACUUAUAUUUGGGUGACCUCAGAUCAGGUAGGGAUACCCGCUGAACUUAA
rnacentral:misc_RNA from 1 species